AUCGCUUCUCGGCCUUUUGGCUAAGAUCAAGUGUAGUAUCUGAGGGUGUCAGAUCUCCUAGAACUGGAGCUACAGACAUUUGUAACCUGCU
ensembl:snRNA U2 U2 spliceosomal RNA